CCUUGACCUCAAAUCGGGUGAGACUACCCGCUGAACUUUAA
rnacentral:rRNA from 1 species